rnacentral:rRNA from 1 species
UAGGAUAGAGGCCUACCAUGGUUUCAACGGGUAACGGGGAAUAAGGGUUCGAUUCCGGAGAGGGAGCCUGAGAAACGGCUACCACAUCCAAGGAAGGCAGCAGGCGCGCAAAUUACCCAAUCCCGACACGGGGAGGUAGUGACAAUAAAUAACAAUACGGGGUUCUUUCGGAUCUCGUAAUUGGAAUGAGUACAAUUUAAAUCUCUUAACGAGGAACAAUUGGAGGGCAAGUCUGGUGCCAGCAGCCGCGGUAAUUCCAGCUCCAAUAGCGUAUAUUAAAGUUGUUGCAGUUAAAAAGCUCGUAGUUGAAUUUCGGGGUUAGUAGGUUGGUCAUGCCUCUGGUAUGUACUGGUCUCACUGAUUCCUCCUUCCUGAUGAACCGUAAUGCCAUUAAUUUGGUGUUGCGGGGAAUUUGGACUGUUACUUUGAAAAAAUCAGAGUGUUUAAAGCAAGCUAACGCUUGAAUACAUUAGCAUGGAAUAAUGAAAUAGGACGUUCGAUCCUAUUUUGUUGGUUUCUAGGAUUGACGUAAUGAUUAAUAGGGAUAGUUGGGGGCAUUAGUAUUCAAUUGUCAGAGGUGAAAUUCUUGGAUUUAUUGAAGACUAACUACUGCGAAAGCAUUUGCCAAGGAUGUUUUCAUUAAUCAAGAACGAAAGUUAGGGGAUCGAAGACGGUCAGAUACCGUCGUAGUCUUAACCAUAAACUAUGCCGACUAGGG